rnacentral:rRNA from 1 species
GCACAAGCAGUGGAGUAUGUGGUUUAAUUCGACGCAACGCGAAGAACCUUACCAAGUCUUGACAUCCCUUGACGAUGCUGGAAACAGCAUUUCUCUUCGGAGCAAGGAGACAGGUGGUGCAUGGUUGUCGUCAGCUCGUGUCGUGAGAUGUUGGGUUAAGUCCCGCAACGAGCGCAACCCUUAUGGUCAGUUACUACGCAAGAGGACUCUGGCCAGACUGCCGUUGACAAAA